GGCUUUGCGCAGAGGCAGUGUCGCACCCAGUGAGGCCUGACCGAGGGGCGACUAUUGCUAGUUGAAAGCGUUCACGUAGAUGUAUGUUAUUAUUUUGGCGGUAAGAAAAAGGAAGCGGAAAGUAAAGAGAAUACUGAUUUUAAAAUC
rnacentral:snRNA from 1 species